rnacentral:rRNA from 1 species
UGGGGAAUUUGGACAAUGGGCGAAGCCUGAUCCAGCAAUGCCGCGUGUGUGAAGAAGGCCUUCGGGUUGUAAAGCACUUUUGUCCGGAAAGAAACCCUUGGCUCUAAUACAGUCGGGGGAUGACGGUACCGGAAGAAUAAGCACCGGCUAACUACGUGCCAGCAGCCGCGGUAAUACGUAGGGUGCAAGCGUUAAUCGGAAUUACUGGGCGUAAAGCGUGCGCAGGCGGUCCGCUAAGACAGAUGUGAAAUCCCCGGGCUUAACCUGGGAACUGCAUUUGUGACUGGCGGGCUAGAGUAUGCAGAGGGGGGUAGAACUCCACGUGUAGCAGUGAAAUGCGUAGAGAUGUGGAGGAAUACCGAUGGCGAAGGCAGCCCCUGGGCCAAUACUGACGCUCAUGCACGAAAGCGUGGGGAGCAAACAAGGAUUAGAUACCCUGGUAGUCCACGCCCUAAACGAUGUCAACUAGUUGUCGGGUCUUCAUUGACUUGGUAACGUAGCUAACGCGUGAAGUUGA